UCAAUUGAUCAAGACAACCAUUGCUAAAGUAGGUUAUACAGCAAAAGUUCCUUCUUCCCUUUUCUUUUCACGUAUGUGUUCAGUUCAUUCAAUGUUCUAUAAUCACCUUGUAUUUCUUCUGUCUUCACCUUGUGAAAGAGUAAAACUUCUAAGGCUUGCUCCUUCCUUCUACUCAAGUUGUCAUUGGAAUAAUGUUGCUGCAUCAGAAUUUUAUAGAUUGGACAAGACUUAUGAUUUGAAAUUGUCAAGGCAAUGGAUGCAAGCAAUCCUGGUAAUUAAUGCUAAUUGUUAGUUUUAAUACAAUUUUUUUUCAUUAUUGGUUCUAAAUUGUUUAAAUUAAACAUAUUUACUUUAGUUGACAAUUUGAUUCUAAUCAAUAAAAUCUAACAUAACUAUCCUCUUCAAUAGUCAUUUAAGCUCAAUUCGUAUUAUCGAAGGUUCUGACUACAUUAGGAUAUCAAAGCAGCUUUGAAAAUCAGGUCUACUCCAAAUUCAUUCUGAUUUCAAAUGCUUAACUAAUUUAUUUUUUGAAUCUGGCAGCUGAUCUUGCCUUUUUUGCAGUUGGAUAUAAACUACUAUGACCUUGGCCUUCCCCAGUGGGAUGUUACUAAUGACUAGAAAACCAUUCAAGUUGCAUAAGCUACUUUUAAGUUUGACAUCCUAUGUUCUCGAUUUUGAAUAAAUAUUGAACUUCUAAUAAUAGGGCUUCAAUAUCUUCAUUUUCUCAUUUGCUUCACAAUAUUUGCAGUAGAGAUAAAAUUUUCAACAUCUGUAUUUUUAAGUUUUCUAUUACAAUUUUCGUAAAUAUUUAUUCGUUCUUCUUCUUAGUUGAUAGUUGUUUUGUACAUUGAAAAUGUUGGCUCAAUUUAGUAAUUAAAUGUGCCACCAUUUCUCCUGGUAGGCACAACUCAUCUUAAAUUGUUCGAUGCUAUGCGUCAUUUUAUCUUUAAAUUAUGAAUCAGAUCAUUAUCCUUUCUACACAUUAAGGCUUUGUUUGCCUAUCAUUAUACAAUAUUGUUUUUUGUACAAUACUCAUUUUUAACCACAUAUUCUUCAAUAAAAAAAUAUUACACGUAAAUAAAAAAAUUUCCUUCUUUUUGAACCACACAUUUCAAUAUCAAUUACUGUUCUAUGAUAUAUUCUUCACAAAUAAUGGGGCACAAACAUCCCCUAAUAAAAGAGGAAAUGUGGUGUGCACUGUUCAUUUUUGUCCCCUCCUGUUCAUCAAAAUAUAUUUGGUAUAUAUUAUAUAUAUGUCUUUUGUACCUCUUGUAAGACCAUUUAUACCUUCCUAAUCUCUCCAAAGAAUCGUAGGCAGCCAUUAACUCCGAUAGACUUCAACGACGAGGACGACAAAGACGAAGACAUGACGAAUAAGGUUUCGGCGCGAUACCUGGUGUUGGAUAAGUUUUUGUUUUGGGUUCUCUAUUUUCCUUCUUUCUAAUCUUACUUUCUAAGUUUAGUCGACAUAUUUCUUUGCUUAAAUUUGCAGGUUUUGAGUAUAUAUGAUAUCUGGGCAUCUCAUAAAUAGCUUAAAUAGUUCUUUAGUUUUGGGAAUUCCAUAUUCUGAUUUUUUGAGGUAACUCUUUUACCUUUGUUUAGAUGUUUAUUCUUUGUAAUCUGUGUAUGUUAGUUUGUUUCUGAACUGAAAUUAACUUGUUCUUAAAUUCAUUCUUUUGAUUUGAUUUUUUGAAUUCAAGUUUAUUCCUAUUUUUAACUUCUGUUGUUUAAAUAGUGUAUGCCAAUAAUGUUGUGAGAAUUCAAUUUAUUAGUUCCAUGGUUCAUGUAGUGGACCUCCAUGAUUUUUCCAUUAGUAUCCUUGCUUGACGUCUGGCAAACAUCGAAUUAGUUGGAGUAGACCUCGGUUUGGCUCCAGAUCCCAAUCUCAAUAACUCGAGUGGUCAUUAGGUAAACAGAAUAGGACAAAUACAAACUCUUCAUCAAAAAACCAAAAACGAAAAAAAAAAUAAAUAAAUAAAAACAAAAAACAAUGAAUCAAUAUUUUCAUAUGCAGUGAGUAUUAUUUAUGAGUUGCUUCUCAUGUUCUAUGAAGAGUCGUGACAUGAGGAACAAAAGCAUUUAAUAACUUGGACUAAUUCUAUAUUUGUUUCUUCCAAAUAAGGAAAAAAAGGAUGUAAAAGAAUAUAUUUUUAUUUUUAAGUUGUUGAAUCUCCUAUAUUGAUCAAUAUGUGAUAUUCCAACUCCUCAUCACUACUGAAAUCCAUAUGAUAUUGCGAUUAAUUCGUUUUUGCCUAAAGUCAAUUACUCAAACAAAACUAGAUCUUCAUUCUUUAUUUAUUUUUUUUUCCUUUUUACUAUUUUAACUGAGUGAAUAUCAUUUCUUAGUGCAAUUAGUUAAUUUUGGGGUUUCACUUGCACGCAAUAGCCUAUAUUGAAGGAGACAAGUACUACGGGGCAAAAAGCAACUAUUAAUGUUUGGGAACCUAAAAUACAGCAGCAUCAUAACAAGUUCAAUUUAUCCCAAAUUUGGUUACUGGGUGGUUCAUUUGGUAAAGAUCUCAAUAGCAUUAAAGCUGGUUGGUAGGUAAAUUUUUCUCCAAAUUACUUGGUCGAUCAUAAUUUGUUGCAUUAAUCUAACGGAUUAGAAUGCAUGUUAUUUCAAGUUAGCCCCGAUGUCUACGAGGAUAACAACACAACCAUUUUUGAGUACAUACCUAUAGACAAUUUAAAAAAGAAUGCCAGCUCUUAUUAAAUAGAAGUUAAUUAUAAGUACAAAAACUCGAAGAAAGCAUUUAAUGAAGGUUCUUAACAGUUAGUCUUGUGUUUUUGGAGUACGCUUAUAUUAUGUGACAAUUAUGUUUCUCUUCCAAUCCAAUUUAGCACAUAGAAUAAAAUCUCAAGCAUAAAUAAAAUAGUUAAUCCCUAAGCAAGCUGGAGUAUAGUACGAAUCAUGCUAUAAAUUUCUAUGUCAAAAUUAUUUUUCUCAUAGUUGGAGUUUUUUUCAUGGGACAAGCUUUGAGAAAUCGUGUGGCAAUGAUGAGAGAAGAGAAAGAAAAUCUGAUUUUGGGAAUUCUUAAAAUGAAAGAAGGAUGAGAAUUGAUUAUUUAAAAAUGAAAGCGAUGAACGUGCCUUCAAAGUCAAGCAUUCACUCAAGAAGAGCGGCAAAAGUAAGAGUGGUGUUAGUGGCAACUUUGUUUCAUUUGAGGAUAUUUGGGAUGUUGAUGAGCUGCAAGCUAUUAAGGCAUUUCGACGAGCCUUGAUGCUAAUUGUCAAACAAGUUUGAUGAUUAUCAUAUGAUGUUGAGGUUAUUUUACAACACUUUUGCCACUUUUAGUCAAAUGUUCGCAUGUACGGAUGGAAAUAUAAACUGUAUCCUGGUUUAACAUGUAGACGUCCUGAUUUUGUCCUCAUUACUAUGGAGGUAACUAGUCACCCCUUCCUCCUUUAGUAGGACAAUUUAUGAUUUUGCUGCAUUACUUUAUAAUUUUUCCUAUAUUGUAGUCGGUAGUUAAGGUUUGAGGGAUUGCAUUUAAUAGUCUUUCCAGAUAAGUUAUUUUUAUAUUUCUUGUAAACAUUUUAGUAUAUAGUUGGAAAAGUACGCAACUAUUUGAACUUUUGUCGAUAAUUAUCCUGAAGUAACAUUUUGAUCAUUUAUUUGAUCAAAGAUAUUAGGUUUUGUGUAGUCUUGGUAGUGUAAUAUAUUGUAUCCUCCAAAUGUUGCAGACAUUUCAUAAAAUAUUUAUCAUCAAGAUGGUCGAAGUAUUAUGCUACCGUAGAAUAUUGUAAAGAGUUUUUUUGAUCUCAGGGCCACCACUAAGAUACAUGUAUGUUGCUAUUUCUUCCUUUUUCCAUAUGUAAGCAUUAUUUUUUCUCACUUAAAUGGCCGACUUUAAUUACUCGGUCUAUCUUCUUUUUGGAAUAUCUCACAUGUACUUGGAAACAAAUAUAGGAAUAAGUUGCUUAAAAUAAAAGAUAUCAAGUGCAAAACAAUGGAAACCGUUGUUGUAACUUGCGAACAUUGAAAUUUAUUUCGAGAUUUUGACGUAAAUUUUUGGGGUUGUGUAGUGAUCAGAAUUCUUUGGUGGAAAGGCCAAGGGGUUUGCCUUCGGUCAGAUAGAGGACCAUGCAAAAAUUCCGAGAUACAAAAGGUCAUUCCUAACAUGGGAGCUAUUAAAUUGACCUACAAAGAUCAUAUAUAAAUACUUGUGUUAUAAUUUUGAUCAUGUUAAAAAAUAAUAAAUGGCUCGAAAUCAUGUUACAGAUGGUGCUUGAUGGUGAAGCACGACUGGCAGGAAGGUGGUUGAAAUUCUUAACGACGACAAAGAGAUAGUUUAUGCUGAGCAACACUACUUGAUUGUAUAGACUAUGUCUGUUGUGCAUAUGAUUAGGCACAACUGCACAAUAUUUCUGUUUUAUGUGAGAUUUUUUUUUUAUUUAGUUGUUGAAGCAGGUAAAGGCAGUGACACCUCAACUGUUGAAUCUGGUUCUGAAGCUGAAAAAUAUUUCUUCACCAAAAGCUAUUCAGAGUUACUCGCACCUUUGAUUGACUCAUGUUCGUGAGGAGGUAUGGUCAAGCCUUACAAUUUCAAGAUUAGAUAUUUAAUUAUCUGCUAUUGAAAAUAAUGUUUUUUAUAAUUUUAAUUGAAUUCUCCCUUAUUUAAUGUUGAGUCUAGUGGUAGCUUGUGCAAAUAUUUAAUUUGGUGCUUGUAGGUCAGUUAGUGUUUGCUUAAUUGCAACACAAGUGCAAAA
rnacentral:lncRNA from 1 species